rnacentral:lncRNA from 1 species
CAGGUGAUAUAUAUUAUUCAAACGUGUAUUCAAGGAUUAAGCAAUUAAUUUAAGAGUGAAUAGAUAAUUUAGUUCCUGAGAUUGUACCCAUUUUAUAUAUUAGUCUCUAAAUGUUAAAUUCAAAAUAGUUUCUAUCUUUGCAUAAGUGUUGCAAAAUAAUCAUUCCGUUAAAUUUUAAAAUAACGCCGUUAGUGAGGUC